CGGGCUGUAGCGCAGUUUGGUAGCGCGCUUCGUUCGGGACGAAGAGGCCGCGGGUUCAAAUCCCACCAGCCCGA
rnacentral:tRNA from 30 species